rnacentral:rRNA from 1 species
UGGGGAAUAUUGCACAAUGGAGGAAACUCUGAUGCAGCGACGCCGCGUGAGUGAAGAAGGUCUUCGGAUCGUAAAACUCUGUCCUUGGUGAAGAAAAAGACGGUAGCCAAGGAGGAAGCCCCGGCUAACUACGUGCCAGCAGCCGCGGUAAUACGUAGGGGGCGAGCGUUGUCCGGAUUUACUGGGCGUAAAGGGUGAGUAGGCGGUUGUAUAUGUCAGGUGUAAAAGGCUAUGGCUUAACCAUGGUUAGCACUUGAAACUGUACAACUUGAGUGCAGGAGAGGUAAGUGGAAUUCCUAGUGUAGCGGUGAAAUGCGUAGAUAUUAGGAGGAACACCAGUGGCGAAGGCGACUUACUGGACUGUAACUGACGCUGAGUCACGAAAGCGUGGGUAGCAAACAGG